UAUUCGACGCUAUUACGCAUCCAUGACAGUAAACCCGCAACCGCCAAUUUCCCGCCGAAAUAGAUUUCCUUCUUCUCGAGUUCACCCACCGAUUCAACUCGAUCAAAAGCCAAGCCAAGCCAAGAUGUUUAUCCUCCGAGUCCACUCAGUGGACGUCGAUCACCCUCUCACUCUCCAGGAGUCCACCUUCUCCACUACCCAAUCAAACCCUAUCCCUAACCCUAAAUAAAGUGAAAGAAGAGGCGUAGUGCAAGUCUAUGAAAACGCAUAGCAUAGCAGUGCUUAUUGCCAAACCUUAGCUCUCGAUCCACUUCUCUCUUCGUUGACGCUGUUCCCAACUACCUCUCCGCUUACGAUUUCAUCCGUUUCUGCGACUCCCACAUCCACAAUGUCCAUGAGCUCCUCUUCAUCAGGAGCUACCUGAAUAUUUUUAAGCGUAUCAACUACUAAGGUACUAAGAAAGAGAGGAUGGCAGAAGGAUAAAUGCAAGUCUUUUAUAUGAUUUUUGCAUGAAAAGUGAGAAGGGAUUGCCUCAAACUAGACCAAAACUGGUGUUUGGAUGAGUUGAUGAGGGGAUUUUUCUUCUUUUUAUGGUCAUUGUUGUUUAUUUUGAUGGAA